CCCUCUUCUUGCACAUGUCGAGAGCAGCAAGCUCCGAUAUCGACAGAUCAUAAUCAGGAGCGAAAUUCGCAGGAUGCCUAAAGAAGGAACAAGUUGCCUGCCAUCACACACACAAACACUGUUAAGGAAUGUAAAUAUAAACACAACAAUCGGAUUUAAGGAAAGACUACUUGCCUCCAGUUUGGCAAGGUCUUGAGGGUCCAAAUUACAAGCGGUGAGGACAUGAAGAACAAUGGAAGGGCUAGCUGCUAAGGGGAAC
rnacentral:lncRNA from 1 species